rnacentral:rRNA from 1 species
AUUGAACGCUGGCGGCAGGCCUAACACAUGCAAGUCGAACGAGUGGCGGACGGGUGAGUAAUGUCUGGGACACUGCCCGAUGGGGGGGGAUAACUACUGGCAACGGUAGCUAAUACCGCAUACCAUCGGAUGUCCCCAGAUGGGUUUAGCUAGUAGGUGGGGUAACGGCUCAUCUAGGCGACGAUCACUAGCUGGUCUGAGAGGAUGACCAGCCACACUGGAACUGAGACACGGUCCAGACUCCUACGGGAGGCAGCAGUGGGGAAUAUUGCACAAUGGGCGCAAGCCUGAUGCAGCCAGGCCGCGGGUAUGAAGAAGGCCUUCGGGUUGUAAAGUACUUGCAGCGAGGAGGCGUUACUCGCAGAAGAAGCACAGGCUAACUCCGUGCCAGCAGCCGCGGUAAUUC